CGCGAUUCGCCCUUCGGGGCGCAGCAGGCGCGAAAACUUUACAAUGCGGGAAACCGUGAUAAGGGGACACCGAGUGCCAGCAUCAUAUGCUGGCUGUCCAGGUGUGUAAAAUACACCUGUUAGCAAGGGCCGGGCAAGACCGGUGCCAGCCGCCGCGGUAACACCGGCGGCCCGAGUGGUGAUCGUGAUUAUUGGGUCUAAAGGGUCCGUAGCCGGUUUGGUCAGUCCUCCGGGAAAUCUGACGGCUCAACCGUUAGGCUUUCGGGGGAUACUGCCAGGCUUGGAACCGGGAGAGGUAAGAGGUACUACAGGGGUAGGAGUGAAAUCUUGUAAUCCCUGUGAGACCACCUGUGGCGAAGGCGUCUUACCAGAACGGGUUCGACGGUGAGGGACGAAAGCUGGGGGCACGAACCGGAUUAGAUACCCGGGUAGUCCCAGCCGUAAACGAUGCUCGCUAGGUGUCAGGCAUGGCGCGACCGUGUCUGGUGCCGCAGGGAAGCCGUGAAGCGAGCCACCUGGGAAGUACGGCCGCAAGGCUGAAACUUAAAGGAAUUGGCGGGGGAGCAC
rnacentral:rRNA from 1 species